GACGAACGCUGGCGGCGUGCUUAACACAUGCAAGUCGAACGGAAAGGCCCUGCUUUUGUGGGGUGCUCGAGUGGCGAACGGGUGAGUAACACGUGAGUAACCUGCCCUUGACUUUGGGAUAACUUCAGGAAACUGGGGCUAAUACCGGAUAGCAGCUCCUGCUGCAUGGUGGGGGUUGGAAAGUUUCGGCGGUUGGGGAUGGACUCGCGGCUUAUCAGCUUGUUGGUGGGGUAGUGGCUUACCAAGGCUUUGACGGGUAGCCGGCCUGAGAGGGUGACCGGGCACAUGGGGAGUAUGAUGCGGCAGAGGCUGAUGAGGGAGGCAGCAGGGGGGAGGGGGGGAGAAUGGGCGGAAGCCGGAUGCAGGAUCGCGGCGGGGGGGAAGCGGGCCUUAGGGUAGGAAACCGCGAACGCCGGUGACGAUGCGUGCGAGACUGUAAUGGGAAGAGAAACAAAGGCUGACUGCGU
rnacentral:rRNA from 1 species